rnacentral:misc_RNA from 1 species
GGAAUAGGGAGCCAAAGUUCCUCGAGAAUGAAGACAAACUGGCAAGCCAGUUGUUACAUUCUGCACUUAAUAAAGUGAUCAUACUCCGAGACCAAUAUGAUUGGUUUAUCGCGAAAAACGCGUCGGAGAUGUACUUUCCUUUUGGAUAUUUAGAUAAUCCAGAAGACAAAGUACCUCUAAACGAUCUACCGGGGCCUUACUUAGCCCUGGUGACCGAGAUUGAGCAAUUCUUUGAAAUGCUCAUCGGUUUAGAGAUGAACUGGACUGAUCGUCCAGAGGCUAUAUACCAAGACCUUUAUAUGGAAAUGGAUGCCACACUUUAUUAUGAAGAGGCCCUUGAGCUUCACGAAAGAGUUGAUAAACUCGAGUUUAAACUUAAACCUUAUGAAGGUCGAGUAAAACCCGGGAAAACAAUCCACGAGACAGCUCCAAUACUUACUGCUUUACGCGGUGUUAUUGGAACAGGUCUACGAAGAUGGAACAACUCUCCUAAUCUAGUAAAUAUUAGUAACUUACUAGCUUAGGCGUGGUAGGAAUCUCCCGCCCGUUAAUCAGAUGAAAGGCUCCUCAAUAGAGAGACCGACCCCUAGGGGACGACUCUACGAUGAGGAUUCUAUCUGUUAACCUCUUGACACUUCGAGAAAUCUUUGUUAAGUUUAUUAACAAUAAAAACCAUGCCCUUAGGUCCGGGUGAAAUACCGGGAAACCAUGGGGGAUCGUUCUUAUCAAAGAACUCCAAGAAACGGAAGAGGAAGACAGGUGUGUCCAACUCGCAUAAAAUCUAUGCGCAUCGGCCUGACCAAGGGCACUAGGUGUUAUACUAGGUAACUUGGAAGGGGACCGAAGGUGUGGAAACCUUUCUAUCCGAUUCAUCGGGUGGUGCUUCUUUCCUUUACAAACCAGAGUGGUUCACUAAAGAACCCUUCUCGGCUUAGUACCCAACGAGGCUUCUCUUUACAGAAAAGCGCAGUUAGGACUAAGGUCCGAUCUUAAC